UACGUAGGGGGCAAGCGUUUUCCGGAUUUAUUGGGCGUAAAGAGCGUGUAGGCGGUCAGGUGGGUCCGUUGUGAAAACUCGAGGCUCAACCUCGAGACGCCGAUGGAAACCAUCUGACUAGAGUCCGGAAGAGGAGAGUGGAAUUCCUGGUGUAGCGGUGAAAUGCGCAGAUAUCAGGAAGAACACCCGUGGCUAAGGCGGCUCUCUAGUACGGUACUGACGCUGAGACGCGAAAGCGUGGGGAGCGAACAGG
rnacentral:rRNA from 1 species